rnacentral:piRNA from 1 species
UGAAACCGGCAAAUUUUUAUU